GCCGGUGUAGCUCAACGCGAGAGCGGCUGAUUUGUAAUCAGCAGACGGAGUGUUCAAGUCCUCCCGCCGGCUCCA
rnacentral:tRNA from 1 species